UACGUAGGGGGCUAGCGUUAUCCGGAAUUACUGGGCGUAAAGGGUGCGUAGGUGGUUUCUUAAGUCAGAGGUGAAAGGCUACGGCUCAACCGUAGUAAGCCUUUGAAACUGGGAAACUUGAGUGCAGGAGAGGAGAGUGGAAUUCCUAGUGUAGCGGUGAAAUGCGUAGAUAUUAGGAGGAACACCAGUUGCGAAGGCGGCUCUCUGGACUGUAACUGACACUGAGGCACGAAAGCGUGGGGAGCAAACAGGAUUAGAUACCAGCGUAGUCCCUGA
rnacentral:rRNA from 1 species